rnacentral:rRNA from 1 species
GUGUCAGCAGCCGCGGUAAGACGGAGGAGGCUAGCGUUGUUCGGAAUUACUGGGCGUAAAGCGCGCGCAGGCGGCUUAGCAAGUCAGGGGUGAAAGCCCGGGGCUCAACCUCGGAACUGCCUUUGAGACUGCUAGGCUCGAGACCGAGAGAGGAGAGUGGAAUUCCCAGUGUAGAGGUGAAAUUCGUAGAUAUUGGGAAGAACACCAGUGGCGAAGGCGGCUCUCUGGCUCGGUACUGACGCUGAGGCGCGAAAGCGUGGGGAGCAAACAGGAUUAGAUACCCUGGUAGUCC